rnacentral:tRNA from 1 species
CAAAUUAGAGCUUGAUUAAAGCAUUUCAUUUACAUUGAAAAGAUAUUAUUUAUAUAUUUAAUUUGA